rnacentral:lncRNA from 1 species
AUGUGGCUUUGACAGCCUCAUCAAUACCGGGCUUCGGUCAGCCACGAGAAAUCCAGCAGAGUUGCCGAGCAAGGUGAACACUGUCUUUGAUGCAGAAAAUACCUGGAAAUUCCUAGAGAAGGCUGUCUUUUUCCUCACCAGUAAAUCAAGGCAGAAGUGGACUAGAAGAAUUCUAUGAAGGAAGACACAUCCUGCUAAAGCCAGAGGUGCUUGCUGUCCAUCCCAACCUCAUUUGGAAUAUUUCUGUGGCUCAGAUUCAGUGAACUCCAAACACGUGGACCAGUGCUCCUGUGGCCAUCACACUACGUCAAGGGCUGGACUUGGCUUUAGAAUCCUUGCUCCAAAGACCACUGCUGUCAAAGAAAGAACAAGCAGACAUCCCACCACAGGAGGUAAACAAAGAGCUCUCAGUCAGAGAGUUGGGGAAAAGGAAGACAGGCACCACUCUAAGGAAAAGGAAUCCCAUUUUUCCUUUUUUUCUUUCCUCUUUUUUUUCUUUUUAGGGCCAUGCCUGCAGCAUAUGGAAGUUCGUGAGCUAAAGGUUGAAUUGGAGCUGCAGCCUCUAGCCUACACCAUAGCCACAGCAAUGCCAGAUCCAAGCUGUGCUGCAGCUGGUAGCAACACCAGACUCUUAACCCACUGAGCAAGGCCAGGGAUCAAACCCACGUCCUCACAGAGAUAAUGUCAGGUCCUUAACCCACUGAGCCACAAUGGGAACUCCCUCUACUUCUGCUCUUGUAUCUCUGGAUGAGCGAGUUAAGCCAAGGUCUUUUGUAAAGAUCUAGCCUCUUUCCCCAAAGGCAUGUCUGAACGUGCUGGUUUUCAGACUUUCAUUUGUAGUAGGAAAUAGGGUACCAUAUUUUGACCUGCUAAGUUAAAUUCUCCCAAAUUUAAAACUGAAAAAAAUAAAAUAAAAUAAAACUGAAAGCUAUUCCUUGGCAUUUAAGAGUCAUGAUUGACUCUUAGUAGCAUGGGAUUCAUGAAGUAGGUUCUUCCUCAGGAGCGUGCAGGGACAAGGGAUGUUUGGUAGAACAGGAUUUGAGUAUUUUUGGAUUCCUGGUUAUUAUGCUAUGUAAAAUGCAUCAAUCUUAUCUUAGUCGCUGUCAAUAUUGUCAAAGUUAUAAAAUUAUCUUGUAUAUUUCAGGGUUAAUAAAAUAUAGAUUUUAUCUUAACAUAGGUUGGUAAAAAAUGGUGGUAGUUAUGUAAUCCCAUGAUGGUGGUUGGGCAGGUAGAGAUUAUAAAUAAAUAGGUUUUUGGUGGAUGGGUUUAUAGAAACAAAAUCUAUUUGUUAUAUAGCCCAAGGGCUUUUCCCCUCCUUUCCUGAAAGUGCGGUUAAUGGGAAUAGAUAGUUUCCCAGUAUCAGAUGCAUUUUAGACUGGAAUUCUGCAUAGAUUAUAAAGUGUGGUGAGGUGGAAAGGGAACAGGAUUGAGAGCCAAGAAACCUGGAUUUCUCUCAUCAACUCAUUUUGUGAGUUGGCAUAAGGGACAAUAUUUGGGUCAGGGUCCCCAUCUGCACAGUGGAUUAAUUGGCUAUCAUUUCUAUAUUGCUUUCCCCUUCAAGUAUGCUAUGCCUGUCCCUAUUUGAAGGAGAGAACAGCUUAGACUGAAAUAUGCUUGCUGGAGAAAAGACUGGAUUUCAGAAAUGGACAAUUUUGGAGUUCCCGUUGUGGGUCCGCAGGUUAUAAAUCUGACUAAUACCCAUGAGGAUGUAGGUUCAAUCCCUGGCCUUGCUCAGUGGGUUAAGGAUCUGGUGUUAUUGCAAGCUGUGGUGUAGUAUGCAGGUGCGGCUUGGAUCUGGCAUUGCUGUGGCUGUGGCAAAGGCUGGCAGCUGCACCUCCAAUUCAACCCCUAGCCUUGGGAACUUCCACGUGCUGCAGGUGUGGCUGUAAAAAGAAAAUAAUAAAGGAGUUCCCGUCGUGGCACAGUGGUUAAUGAAUCCGACUAGGAACCAUGAGGUUGCGGGUUUGGUCCCUGCCCUUGCUCAGUGGGUUAACGAUCCGGCGUUGCCGUGAGCUGUGGUGUAGGUUGCAGACUCGGCUCGGAUCCCGCGUUGCUGUGGCUCUGGCGUAGGCCGGUGGCUACAGCUGCGAUUCAACCCCUAGCCUGGGAACCUCCAUAUGCCGCGGGAGCAGCCCAAGAAAUAGCAACAACAACAACAACAAAAGACAAAAAGACAAAAAAAAAAAAAUAAUAAUAAUAAUAAUAAUAAAGAAAUGGACAAUUUUUAUUACUCCUCACAUUCCCUGGUCCCUCCUUCUGCCUUUUGGUGAAGCAUGGAUGUGUACAUAGCAAAGAAGCUGAUUUAAUAGAUGAAUCUUCUUAGUGUCUCUGAAAUCUCUUCUCUAUCUUCCCCUGGUCAGCUAAAGUUAGUGCCAUUAGUCUGUUUAUCCCACUGCCUGUCUCCUUACCUCUCCCUAAAUUAAGGCCUUAGUUAUAAGCUAGUUUAAAAAAAUAAUAAUAAUAAUACAUAGGAGUUCCCAUCGUGGCUCAGCGGGUUAACGAAUCCAACUAGCAUCCAUGAAGACGUGGGUUCAAUCCCUGGCCUUGAUCAGUGGGUUAAGGAUCAAGCAUUGCCACCAGCUAUGGUGUAGGUUGCAGACAUGGCUCGGAUCUGGCAUUGCUGUGGCUGUGGCAUAGGCCGGCAGCUACAGCUCCAAUUCCACCCCUAGCCUGGGAACCUCCAUAUGCUGUGGGUGUGGCCCUAAAGAAACAAAAAAGACAAAAAAAAAAAAAAUCCCAGAAAUGUUACAUGAAAUACCCUGCAUGGGUGACAAUGAUAGGUUCAGGGCCAAGGAGCCAUGAUGGACAGAAUGCAUUCCUGGAAUGAGGCCCAACACCACAUGCACAGAAAAAUGUUAAAAGUGUAUGUUCAGUUUGAGGCAUAGGAGUCUCUCCAGAAAUAAGUGCAUGUGGCUGGCUUUAACUAGGUGUGUGCUUCUGAGGUUUGUGGGAAUACCUAGGUAGAAAUGCUGUACACAUGAAGAGCCUGAGCCCAUGUAGCCUGACUGCUUUCUCUCUCAUUCUGUGAGCAAAAAUAGCAGUCAUCUUUGUCAGUCCUUGCUUGUCCUUUCUCUCCUUCUAUGAGCUAUUGUUUAUUCUGUAGAAUUUUUUAAAAGCCUCUUGUAAACAGGGUACCUCAUGACAGUUUAUUUUAGAAUUAGUGUACAGACAGACUUUACAGGAAUUUGUCGACAUUAAAAAAACAUUUUUUUUUACUCUAUAUGCAAUUUUUUUUUUCUUUUUAGGGCUGCACCUGUGGCAUAUGGAAGUUCCCAGGCUAGGGGUUGAAUUGGAACUGCAGCUGCUGGCCUAUGUCACAGCCACAGCAACAUCAGAUCUGAGCCACAUCUACGACCUACACUGCAGGUUGUGGCAAUGCCAGAUCCUUAACCCACUGAACAAGGCCCAAGAUCGAACCCACAUCCUUAUGGAUGCUAUGUCAAGUUCUUAACCUACUGAGCCACAGUGGGAACUCUUCUAUAUGCCAUUUUUAAUUAAAAUAUAACAUUUAAAAUGUGUUUAAUAAAAACCUGAAACUGAAGUAAUUUUUUUUUUCUUUUUAGAGCCAUACCUGUGCCAUAUGGAAGUUCCCAAGCUAGGAGUUGAAUCAGAGCUAUAGCUGCCAGCUCAUACCACAGCUACAGCAAUGCCAGAUCCAAGCUGCAUCUUUGACCUACACCGCUGCUGAUGGCAACACCAGAUCCUCAGCCUACUGCGCAAGGCCAGGGAUCAAAUCCGCAUCCUCAUGGAUACUAGUCAGGUUUGUUACCCCUGAGCCACAACUGGAACUCCAGAAACUGAAGUAAUUUUUUAACUUCAGACUAAAUAUUUAUUUUUAAUAACAGAACCAUAUUGGGCCUUGGAGUAUCUCUCUAGAAUUUAAAGAAUAUUCUAAAAAAUUUAAGAAAUUAGGUCAUUGCAUUUUUUUUUUUAAAUUAAAGUGUAGUUGAUUUACAAUGUUGUGUCAAUUUCUGCUGCACGGCAUAGAACCCAUUUAUUCUCACUAUCUUCCAUCAUGGUCCAUCCCAAGAGACUAGAUAUGGUUCCCUGUGCUAUACAGUAGGACCUCAUUGCUUAUCCAUUCUAAAUGGAAUAGUUUGCAUCUACCCACCCCAAACUCCCAGUCCAUCCCACUCCCUCCCCCUCUCCCUUGGUAACCACUAAUGUGUUCUCUAUGUCUCUGAGUUUGUUUCUGUUUUGUAUAGUUUCAUUUGUGCCAUAUCUUAGAUUCCACCAUAUAAGUGAGAAUGUGACUGCAUUUAAAUCCAGCCUUACGUAUGUCCCCUCUCCCACCUCAGCAAAGAUGCCCCCCUCCACCUUCUGUUAUUAGCAGGAGAGGAAAACUCCUGGCUUGUUUUCUGGCAGCGUCGCACACAAAUACAGUUAACAUCAUCAUUUUUGGUAAAGUUGGAUCUUCUGAUUUAUUUCUCAAUUAGAAACAAGCUAGCAAAUCAAAACAUCCAGACUUUUUUUUUUCCCCUAAUGAGGAGAGGGUGAUGAAAUGAGAGAGGUGUAUUUUUUUUUGUUUUUUUUUCUUUUCCUUUUUCUAAAUGCCUGCAAAAUAGACUAUGCCAUCUCCAUUUCUAGGGAUGGAUGAAUCAACCAUGUUUUCCUGUUUGUUGAGAGGUCAUGUGAUGACUGUAGUUCAAGGUUGGUAUUCCACGUGGUGAGACAACUUCAGUGGAUAGUCACAAGCACAUCUGGCUCUAGCUGAAGGCCCACAGAUCUUUUGGAGGCUUGACGGAAGAGCAAAUCCACAGUUGAAAGCAUAUAAAAGUGAGAAAGCCCUCGAGAUUCUCUAGACAGCCAAAUAUUUACCAUGUGUCUUUCUGGAUAUGGUGUCAGGCUUGUUGCAAAGUAAACACGUCAAGACCAGGCUUGCACCAACCUGAAGGAGUGGAACAUUUUCCUGGUGAUUCAGUUCGCUCCGAAAAAGAUUUAUUGAGCUUCCAAAUACUGUUUGCUAUGGAAAAUACAAAAAAGUCCAGCAGUUGAGGGCAUGAUCACAGCCUUGAGCAAAUUUUGAUCUGCUUGGGCAGACAAAAUUUAACAAUGAAAAGUACAAUACAGUGUUCGAUUAACUUUGAAGAGCAGAUACUUCAACCUUCUUAACAUUUUUCACAUCAAAAUACACAUAGAAAAACAUUUAAAUAGUAUAUGAAUAGAUUUGGAAGAAACUAAGGGUUACCUAUAUGGGAUUUGGUUUAAAAAAAAAAAAGAGCUUAAACAUGUUUUAUGAUGUAUCAUAGUGAUAAGAAAAUGUAAUGCAAAGUAAAAGAGGAUGUAUUGAAUUUGUCAAAAACUUCCAAAAAUACCUUCAAAUAUUUUAAAGAGUAACUUGAAAUUGCUUUUAUGAACAUAAU